rnacentral:lncRNA from 1 species
CUUCGCCCCCCAGGGCCGGGGGGGAGGUAAAUUUAGCUUCAGGAAGCUCCGGGGAACAGGUUCCAAAACUCCACGUCUCGCAGCGGGCUAGACGGACCCCUGUGCGCAGCCCUCCCCGGCCGGCCACCAGGCGGCGCAGGUCCCCGGCCCCUGGGAGCCAGCCUGCUGGGAGUUAGGGUCGCUACUUUGAUUUUUUGUUUGUUUUUUUGAGUUAGGGUCUCGCUGUGUAGUUCAGGCUGGCCUUGAACUUGUGGCAAUCCUCCUGCCUCAGUCUCCCUCCCGAAUGCGCACUACACCCAGCGGGCGUCGCUGCUUUGAAGCUGGAGUAGGUAAAGGGCAGAGAGCUGACCAGUGAACAACAGCUGGAAGAAUGAGUCCUCCUCACCAAGGCUGCUUCUCCUGAGCGGGGUGCUCUGGCAGCUGCAGCUGGAGGCCUGCUUCCUUCCUGAGCUGGGGAUGAGCUGCAGCUCCCCAUGCUCCUU